UACCAGACUCCUACGGGAGGCAGCAGUGAGGAAUAUUGGUCAAUGGCCGGAAGGCUGAACCAGCCAAGCCGCGUGAGGGAGGAAGGCGCAGAGCGUCGCAGACCUCUUUUGCCGGGGGACAAAAGGCCGGACUCGUCCGGUCCUGAGGGUACCCGGAGAAAAAGCAUCGGCUAACUCCGUGCCAGCAGCCGCGGUAAUACGGAGGAUGCGAGCGUUAUCCGGAUUCAUUGGGUUUAAAGGGUGCGCAGGCGGGCCUUUAAGCCGGCGGUGAAAUCGCGGGGCUCAACCCCGGCGAGCCGUUGAAACUGGCGGGCUGGAGUUGGAGAGAAGUACGCGGAAUGCGCGGUGUAGCGGUGAAAUGCUUAGAUAUCGCGCAGAACCCCGAUUGCGAAGGCAGCGUACCGGCUCCACACUGACGCUGAGGCACGAAAGCGUGGGUAUCGAACAGGAUUAGAUACCCGCGUA
rnacentral:rRNA from 1 species